rnacentral:lncRNA from 1 species
GGUGAUUCUGGAGUAGCAAUUCCGGGUGAGAAAGGAUUCCCUGGGCUCCCAGGACCUCCUGGGGUAAAAGGCCAGAUGGGAUUGCCUGGUUUGGGGCUUCCUGGGCCUCCAGGAGCCAGAGGUAGCCCCGGAGACCUUGGUGAUACGGGUGAUAUUGGGCCACCUGGUCCAAAAGGCCAGAAAGGUGAAACUGUCUGCAUUACAUCACCAUAUCCUGGAAAUCCAGGUCCCCCGGGUUUUAAAGGUGUUCAAGGACAAAAGGGUUUAAAAGGACUCCCUGGGCAUCCUGGACCAAAUGGCUUUGAUGGGCAAAAAGGCCAUCGAGGAAGGCCAGGAGCAGGAAUCCCUGGGCCAGAAGGUGAAUUGUGCUUUUCCUGAUCUGGGAGAGCUGCUGUAAUGCACGUUGUCAUGUUAUAAUGCAUACAUGCA